rnacentral:lncRNA from 1 species
GGUAACAAUGUGACAGAAUAUAUCAAGCCUUUAACAUGUUUAAAAAUAGCUUGUUUAAAUGAAAAUUCAGGUUUUCACAAGAGUUCAAUUUUAGGGAAAUAACCAUUGAAAACUUUUUAUUAAGUAUUUUUAUGUUUAUUCUUAUUUUAUUGCUUUCUCAUAAAACAUAACAGAUUAUAUUUAAAAAUAAAAACAUGCAUGGCUAAGCAUUUGCCCAAAUGCAGUUAUACAAGAGACCUCUAGAUAUUUCAGCCUCUGACUAUUUUCUUUAGUACAUGUUUAAAUAUUAUAUCUGAACGACCUGUUUCAGACUGCGGACCUCUAGUGGCCCCAGUCAAUGGAAGCGUUUCAUACAAUGGCACAACUUAUGACUUUAGUGCAGUAUAUGCAUGCAACGAAGGUUUUAGCAUUAAUGAUGGGGAUGAAGAACGAAUAUGUUCUGAAUAUGGAGAAUGGACCGGAAGUGAACCGACCUGCAGGAGAGUUGCAGAACAUUAGAGAAUUCUGAAAACGGAAAUGGUCUUUCACUAACACCUCUGAAGGUUCUGAGGCAGUGUACACUUGCGAAGAAGGAUUCAGUCUUUCUGGGGGAGAAACAAAAAGAAUAUGCAGUCCGAAGGGUAAAUGGUCGUCGGUUGAACCGGCGUGCUUGAUUGACAACGUCUCAUCAAGUGCAGUCAUAGCUGAAAGUCAAAUGGAUUUUCUCAUAAAGCUGUAUGCCGCAGUACAGUGUGUUGUGUUACUCGUGCAUUGAGCGAUCUUUCGACAUAUCCAGGAUACAAAAUGUUCAGUCAUCAUGAAGUUAACUGGAUACUGCACAAAUACGUUUCUCAAAUAUGAAACAUGUACUUUAUUGAUGUAUUGACAUUUAAUGUUUUGUGUUAAAAAUAUGUUUUUAUGUAAUAUUGAUUGUUUUACAUUUGUACAUGAAGUUGCAUAUAAUGCAAAUGACUAUUUUGCCUCUCGAAAUAUUAGGGGGAAGGGGAUAUAUAGUGUUUUGGUCCUGCAUUAGUGACCGCUCUGUAGCUGUACCCCACCCCCAACUCCCGUGAAAGAUUGCACAAAUGUUUGCCGUAAUGAGACGAUGUGCAGAAUACAACUUUCAGUCAUGUCGAUUGAAAGUCAAGGUUGUACGAUAAAAUCCGCAAAUACAUUUAAACACUCAAAGCAUUUUCAACUAACAGUAACCUUGACUUAAAUGUUUGCCAUAACGUUCAAAAUGACACUCAUUGAAAUGUUGUGGUAUUUAUACAUGCGUCUUUUUCAAGCUUUAAAUGAAUUUGUUUAUAAUACAAGCGUCUAAACGGUUUCGCAUAAUCUUUAAUGCAUUUAUUUGUUAUACAUUGCAUAAUAAACUUCUAGAUAAUGCACGCACAAUUAUAUUAAAUGAACGUGUAUGUAUUUCAAGUUUCCAAAUGACGUUGCAAUGUUUACAUAUAGUUGUAAUGGUAAUUCUAAAACGUUUUGCAUAUAAUGCAAGUGAAAUGUGUGCAUUGUUCGAAAUGGAUUUCUAUAGAAAUAAUAUUACUUUUUCAUGAGUUUGCUUAUAAUGCAAGCUAAAUGAGUGCACUGUCUAGAAUAGUUUUAUGUAGUCAUAAUAAUGAAUGCUUCUAAGUGUUUUGUACAUAACGCCAACAAACUUACGUUGUUGAACAACGAAAUGUUUUUUCCAGUUGCUAUAAGAGUUAUAAUUU